GGAGAGUUGUCCGAGCUGGCCGAAGGAGCACGGUUGGAAACCGUGUAGACGGAUAAUAUUCGUCUCAAGGGUUCGAAUCCCUUACUCUCCG
rfam:Facklamia hominis CCTG 36813 genomic scaffold supercont1.1, whole genome shotgun sequence.